rnacentral:rRNA from 1 species
GACGAACGCUGGCGGCGUGCUUAACACAUGCAAGUCGAACGGAAAGGCCCUGCUUUUGUGGGGUGCUCGAGUGGCGAACGGGUGAGUAACACGUGAGUAACCUUCCCUUGACUUUGGGAUAACUUCCGGAAACUGGGUCUAAUACCGGAUAGGAGCUCCUGCUGCAUGGUGGGGGUUGGAAAGUUUCGGCGGUUGGGGAUGGACUCGCGGCUUAUCAGCUUGUUGGUGGGGUAGUGGCUUACCAAGGCUUUGACGGGUAGCCGGCAUGAGAGGGUGACCGGCCACAUUGGGACUGAGAGACGGCCCAGAGUCGUACGUGAGGCAGUAGUGGGGAGUAUUGUACAAUGGGCGGAAGUCUGAGGAAGAAACGUCGGGGGCGGGAUGAAGGCCUGCGGGUUGUAAACCGCUUGCGCCUGUGACGAAGCGUGAGUGACGGUAAUGGGUAAAGAAGCACCGGCUAACUACGUG